UCGAGGCUGCGUUCGUGAAGAAGUGUCGGUCAGAAACAGUGAAUAAAUUUCCAACUUCGGGAUUAAACCCCAUUUUCACAUAACUUUUUCUCUAAUGCUCGAUUUUGGUAGAAACCCAUUGAUAAGUUCAAGAUUCAUUGUUGGGGACUCUGCUCAUUCUGAGGUGCUUCAGAAGGGGAAGGCUCAGGUCUGAUUGUUCAUGGCACCCGCUCGGCAUCAAGAUACCGAUCCUUGUUCCAGCUCAGGACCUCGUGUCUGAUCUCGAGGCUUGCUUUCGAGACAUUUCAGGGUGAGCUAUAUAGUGACUCGUGGCCCAUGGAUAUCUCAUCUUUGAGUGUUCUUCAGUUGUUUAUUUCAGACAGUUGUAUUUUGUCCCACGUGACUUGAUUUCAGAUAUUUUAGUGUUUUUGUAUCUCUAGACCAUAUUUGGGGGGUUGUAUAAGACUAAGUUACUCUUUUCGUAUUAUCUUAUUAUAUGUAACGACCUAAUAGGUCGUUAUGUGCCU